CCUAUUGACUCAUGCAUUGACCAACCAAGUCCAGUCAAGAUAAAUUAAAUGAGCAUUCAUAAUUUCAGAGCAGAAAAAUCAUCAAAGAAAGCAAAAAACAUUGUGAACAGACUUAAAUGAAGGCAGGAAAGUUUAACGCUAAGAAUUUUUCUUUCACAUGAAAUUGAAUUUCGAGGAAGUUUUUAGAUUGAAACUAUUGAAUUCCGAGCACAAUUUUGGAUUGGAAAAAUCGAUCAAAGUCUUUCUCAAGGUUUGACCUUAUUCUAUAAAUAUCUGCGAAUACGCAAAGUCCAUUUGAUCGCUUUAAUAUACAUCCAAUUAGGAAAGAUGAAAGGGUUCGGCAAGGUGAUUAUUGUCAUACUCAUAUUGCUUGGUUUUACCCUAAUUGAAGGAAGAACAAUAUUUCCAGAUCAAGUAUGGGAUACACCUAAGAUCCUAAGGGUCCCAAGUCCUCCGCCACCGCCGCCACAACCGCCAGCCGGACCUCAACAAUGAAUAAGUGAAAGGCCCGACUCUUUCAACACCGUAGUUGUUUUCUAUUUUCAAUUCAAAUUCUAAAUUGGGAAAGUAUUGUAAGGAAUAAAUCUUGUAAACCAAUAAAUGAGUUACCGUAAGCCAAUAUUAAGGGGUGCUAUUCUUCAUAUUGUCUCCGCAAAUGUUUCCAUGUAGCCUAGGAAUGCAAAGUGGGAGGAUUUUUCGAAUUCCAGUGAUUAUGAUUAAGAAACUUUCAAUGUUAGAACAAUAUUAUUUUGUCGAAUUUUGUAACGCUUGUAAGAUCAAUAUUAUUAUGUAUUUUAUGCCAAAGGUCACUAAAUUUUCAUA